rnacentral:rRNA from 1 species
CCGAUCGGGCAAUGCCGCGAAGCUACCACGCGUUGGAUUAUGGCUGAACGCCUCUAAGCCAGAAUCCGUGCUAGAAACGAUGAUGUUAGUCCCGCAAAUCUCAGUCGAGUAAAGAUAGAGCUUCGGCUCGUAAACCAUAGUUGGCUGGUCAUGUUCUGUAGGGCGGAAAGGCCUUGCAGUUCUACCGGCGAAUAGCAUUCGAAAUAUUUGCGGGGGUAAAUCCUUUGCAGACGACUUAAAUAGAACGGAGUGC